GUGGGGAAUAUUGGGCAAUGGGCGAAAGCCUGACCCAGCAACGCCGCGUGAAGGAAGAAGGUCUUCGGAUCGUAAACUUCUAUCCUUGGUGACGAUAAUGACGGUAGCCGAGAAGGAAGCCCCGGCUAACUACGUGCCAGCAGCCGCGGUAAUACGUAGGGGGCAAGCGUUGUCCGGAAUGAUUGGGCGUAAAGGGCGCGUAGGCGGCCUGGUAAGUCUGGCGUAAAAGUCCUGCUUUUAAGGUGGGAAUUGCUUUCGAUACUGUCGGGCUGGAGUGCAGGAGAGGUAAGUGGAAUUCCCGGUGUAGCGGUGAAAUGCGUAGAGAUCGGGAGGAACACCAGUGGCGAAGGCGACUUACUGGACUGUAACUGACGCUGAGGCGCGAAAGUGUGGGGAGCAAACAGGAUUAGAAACCCUAGUAGUCC
rnacentral:rRNA from 1 species